rnacentral:rRNA from 1 species
CCUACGGGAGGCAGCAGUGGGGAAUCUUGCGCAAUGGGCGAAAGCCUGACGCAGCCAUGCCGCGUGUAUGAUGAAGGUCUUAGGAUUGUAAAAUACUUUCACCGGUGAAGAUAAUGACUGUAGCCGGAGAAGAAGCCCCGGCUAACUUCGUGCCAGCAGCCGCGGUAAUACGAAGGGGGCUAGCGUUGCUCGGAAUUACUGGGCGUAAAGGGAGCGUAGGCGGACAUUUAAGUCAGAGGUGAAAUCCCGGAGCUUAACUUCGGAACUGCCUUUGAUACUGGGUGUCUUGAGUGUGAGAGAGGUAUGUGGAACUCCGAGUGUAGAGGUGAAAUUCGUAGAUAUUCGGAAGAACACCAGUGGCGAAGGCGACAUACUGGCUCAUUACUGACGCUGAGGCUCGAAAGCGUGGGGAGCAAACAGGAUUAGAUACCCUGGUAGUCCACGCCGUAAAACGAUGAUUGUCUAGUUGUCGGGAACGGACGUUGUCUUCUCGGUGACGCAGCUAACGACAUAAGUACAACUACCGCCGUCGGGAGGUACGGUCGCGAAGAAUUAAAACUAACAAACUAGAAGUUAGACGGACGUGAGACGUAGCCGAACGGACGACGACGAGGGAGGAGG